rnacentral:tRNA from 1 species
GGUAAGAUGGCUGAAUUAUAGGCAGUAGAUUGUAAAUCUAUAUAUGGGGUUAAUUACUUCUCAUACCG